rnacentral:rRNA from 1 species
UACGGGGGGGCAAGCGUUGUUCGGAAUUACUGGGCGUAAAGGGCGCGUAGGCGGUCAGACCAAGUCGAGUGUGAAAUUCCAGGGCUUAACUCUGGCGCGCUCGCUCGAUACUGGUCGGCUAGAGUGUGGAAGAGGAUGCUGGAAUUCCCGGUGUAGCGGUGAAAUGCGUAGAUAUCAAGAGGAACACCAGUGGCGAAGGCGAGUCCCUGGACGAUACCUGACACUGAGGCACGAAAGCCAAGGGAGCAAACAGG